ensembl:lncRNA
CUUCAUCGUUCUUCACAGAGCUCUUACAAAAAAGGGACGGCAGAAAUGAAGAAAUUUAAGACCAUGCACUCUCACUUGCACUGAGGGGAAUAACAGACGAUCCUAAGACACUUGCUGGCACAGAAUUACUCACAACGUUGAAACAGCCUAGCCGCAGACAUGAAGGCAAUGGGACAGAAGACUGGGAGGUAAUAUAGUUCUCCAAGCAGCUCUUCGGAUAACUGCUGUCAGUGGUUAUGCAUGACUGGGGGUCCUCUGGCACAAAGGAAGCACCUUCAGGCAGAAGAGAGCAGGCUGGAGGCCAUAACCAUCUCAGAACAAAGUUUCUUCUAAAUCUGAUCGACUUUCAUGUCUGCACUCAAC